CUUGAUCUUCGUCGACGAGGAUUUACCGUGUCCCUCCGUUAUCUGAUCGAGAGCCUUCUUGACCUAUAGACCCUUAGACGGAUCCCGUACCAUGCCCGAAAUGAUCGCGUUGGGCUCGGUCUCGUCAGACAAAAUGCAUCCGCCCUCACCUUCUUCGUUCGCAUCGGUAUCAUCCGCAAGCACCCAAAAUCGUCCUCCGAUGUUAGGCUUAGGAGCUGCAUUCUCGGAGUCCGACGCGAGAUCGACUAAUUCAAUCGAUUCCUCCACAAGCGAACUCUCCUGCACACACUCACGAACGACAAUUUGAAAAUCAUCAAUAGCAAAACACGCACCUGCUUGGAUCUGUUCAUCCACAUCCAGAUAGCGUCCCGCGAGAAUGUCAUGAUCUCGAUCUCGAACUGUCGUCCAUCUAGAUGCCGCAUGGGACCAAGAGAGAAUCAGCCUGAAUCACCGCAUCAUCCUCCGAUCCGGCCGGCCCCCUCCGAACUGCCAGCGCCGGCGGCGGCGGAACCAAGGUCUCCAGGACCGGCGACGAAGGAACCGGCCCCCCCUGGAUUGCCAGCGCCGCCGGCGGCAGAACCGCGGUCACCAGUACCGGCGGCGGUGGAUCUGGAGGCCGCUGCAUUUCCGGCGUCAUUUCCGGUGCCCACACAUAUGCACUCUUCCCGACUUUUUUAUGUUCCUAUGUUCCAAAUACUCGUUAAAAUUAUGUCCAAAAUGACAGAUUUUUUUGAACUGGAGGGAGUAACUACUAUGUAAUUCUCUGUUUGAAUGAUGUACUACUGCAAUUAAACUUCUAUACAUUUCAAAAAUUAUCUUUGGAUGUUCAAGAAAAUGGUGCUGCUACGGAUGUCAAUCUAACUUCUCAUUAAAUUGCCUUUGCAUGUUAUACUUACCACUUUGUUGAAGGUAUAUUCUAAAGGUAGUUUGUUUGAGAAGGCUAAAGAGUUGCUAACUGAAUUGGAAGCCCCAGGCUUUGCACAGGACGAGGUAAAACAUGUGGUGUCACACACACCACUGCUCAUACCCAAGUUUGUAUGGUCCUAUAUAAGAGCCAGACAAAUGAGAGUCAAAUGCUCAAAACUGCCAACACAAUUUACUAAUCAGGAUUCAGGAACUGCAUUGCAUGUUUUAUUCAUUUAAUUGCAUGGCUCCAAUUCACUCUGCAUAUCAUCGCAUACCAGCGCUUAUCAAAUGGAAAUCAAAUGCUUAUCAAAUGCAAUCAAAUGAUCUGUCUUUGUAUAUGCAUAUCAGCGCUUGAUUCAUUUUCUUUUGGUGCAUUUAUCUAUCCCUCGAUUGAUGCUCUCCACUUGUUUGUGUUAUUGUUCCGCAAUUGUAUUUGUCUGUUCGUGUUUUGUUGCAUCGGUUUAAAAUUAUGAUUUGUUCAUCAGAGUUUCUGGUGGUCGUUCUGUUGUUGCUACUCAUUGGUAAUUGGUUUUUGCAGCUGGGUCGCGUUUGCGCUUCAGGUACGAUUCUCUCUUCCUUCCAUAUUUUUUUUCUGUUCUUAGCCUUCAUGUCGUAUCGUGCUACUGAUGUUGUUACAUAAUAAUGCCAUGGUUUCCUUCAUCAGUAUUAUUGUAGGGUGCACACGGUAUGAGCUACAUCGAUCCUGCUGCGGGUCAUGCUGCUGCAUGUGGUCGUUGUCUUGCACGGCGGCAAAACAGAGUGUCAGCUCGAAUCACACUGUUUCAAAGUGCGAUUUGCCCAUGUCUCUCGCCUGUUCUGCCCCACACUCUCUCUUCUUAUAAAGCCGAAUUCCUAGAAGGCAUACACAUGAUUCAAGCUAGGACAUGCUAUCAUCUCUAUUUCCCAAUUAAAUUGUUUCACCCUGAACACAACUUUCGCUCAAAAAUCUGUGAACCUCUCAUUAUUUACAUGGCCUUGCUCUUCUCCUGUUUUCAUAAGUCCAUGCUUGCAUGCCUAUUCUAAUGACCUAUAUUACGGCGCUGGGUACAUGUGAAAGGAGGCGCUGGGUGGGCGUGGACAGGAGGCGAUGCAGGACAGAUGUAGAAGAGACGGAGUAGGGCAACUACAGUUGGGGCGGCUAUGUGAUAAAGAUAGAGAGGGAAGUUGAGAGAGAUUUAGGCGAGCUUCAGUAGACGAGAAUAUUUUGUUAGAUAUGUGAGCCCAAGAUGUGCGAUGCUCCAGCAGGUAUGUGAUGCUAAUGCAUAUAUAAAGAGAGGUGUGAUGUGUAAGGUUGCUAUUUUCGUUGAUCUCCUGCUGCUGUUGGUAUUUUUGCUAGCUAUGUGAGCCCAAAAUAUGCAUUGCUGAUUGCCACAUUAUGCUGUAAGCUUCUUCAAGACAACAUGUAGGUGUUUAGAUUGCUCAAUAUGAGGUGAUGGGAGAUGGACUACAAGGAAAGAAGUACCCAGGUCCGUGCCAUUCUUGAAUGUGUUAUCAUUAGUUAUCCUGUUGCCGUGUAUUAGUUUCUUGCUAGCAUCUUUAACCUUUAGGGAUUUCAAAGUUUAUACACAUCUGAUGGAAGAUUGAGUUCUAUAAGUUUUAAUAUGUACUCCCUCCGUUCCAAAAUAGAUGACUCAACUUUGUACUAACUAUAGUACAAAGUUAGUACAAAGUUGGGUCAUCUAUUUUGGAACGGAGGGAGUAGCAUUUCUUACCAACCACUUGAAGUCCAGAAUAGAAAAUAUAGCAGUUUGAAAGCUUGAUUUAAGGAAUAGUCAAAGAUAAAAACAUUUUCGUCUAAUUUUCAUGAGGUGUUGGAUUUUCAGCUUUCAGAUCUGAAUACCUUCUACUUAGACCUAAGCACUUAAUAGAUCUUCUUUGUUGUUAAAUGUAGUCAGUCAGAGUCGUUUUUGUUUGGAAAUUAGGUCGUUUACAAUAAAAGGAAAGCAGUACCACAAGUGGGAUGCGCUAUAGUGUUGUAACAAGUCCCAUCUUGCAAUUUGAGGCUCAUGCUAUUGUGUUUUCAUCUUGAAGUUGAACUUCUUUUUUGACUGUUUACAGAUCAUAGGUGACACCAGUGGGAAGCGAUAUACUAUUGCAAGUCCCAUCUUUCAAUUUGAGGCCCAUGCUAUUGUGUUUUUCAUCUUGAAGUUGAACUUUUUUACUGUUUAUGGAUCAUAGAUGAAAUAUGAAUGACCAAUAUCGAUGCAAAUUACCUACCACAGGACCAUUUCAAUGAUGCUUGGUGAAGUGAGCUACAGAGGUACAAAUUACACAUAAAGAAUUAAUCUGUUGGUAUGGAUUUGCCAUAUCUUAAGUUUCACCUCAAAAUAAACUCUGGACUUCUCUGUCUUUUGCCCUGUCCAUAUCAACAAAUCACCAUAGAUGAGCAGGCGCGUCCCACUGGCGAUGCCGACCGCGUAUUGUGCUGUAGUCCAUCCACAACGCCAUAAGAGAGCGGCUGGACUAUGACAAGGACGUUGCCUUCAGCUUCUCCGCCAUGCGGGAUUAUUCUUUGACCUUUCACAAUUCCAUCUAGUGUCCCUACUUUCAAGCAUAGUUUUGAUGUUCCAUGACCUUUUGCAUGUACCCAGCGCCGUUAUGACUUUUACAAGAGAAGUUGAGAGAGAUGUUUUUCUUGUACUUUCAGUUAUGACUUUUGUUCUAUAAUCUUUUCCUGUUUGGAUGUGCCUAGCACAAUAGUAAAUUUGCCGACUACUAAUUGAUACUUCUA